rnacentral:tRNA from 1 species
UAUAUUUGAGUAUUUUAUGUACACGAAUUUUUGGAGUUCGGGGGAGUAGUUUAAUUCUAUUAAAUAUAA